rnacentral:lncRNA from 1 species
GAUAAAAAGAUUGGAAAAUAGUUUUAUUAUAAGAUUAAAACAGCUAAAUAUAAUAAUGUUACGUAUCAGAACUUGGUGCGGGUGCAACCUUUGUUCUGACACAUUCACAAAAACAAAGUAAAAAUAAUAUGAACGAGACAAGUCCCCAUCCUAGAAAUAUACAGAUUAUACCCAAAUACUCCAUAUUGUCUUUUCUUCUUCUUACGAAAGUUCCUACACAAACACGAAAGAAGGUUAGGUUAUUAUACAGUGAUCUUUAUAAUAGGUGUGUAUAUAUAUAAGUCAUAUAAUUGCCUUAUCUCUACAACUUGGGAAUCUAGGUUAACAUAUGUAAUAUAUAUGCAUAAGAAAAAGAAAUGAAAGGUUAACAUAAUACAAUAAGAUGCAAAAUAUAAGCGUCAGAGAAGAAAAGGUUUUUUUCCAUUUUUUAUAGAAAUUUUUGUACAUACAAACGAGACUAUUUUUUUUAGGGUAUUUGAAGUAAUCUAAAUAAUCAACUGGUAUUUCUUAUAAUUAUUUAAAAUUUAUUAAAAUUUGAAGCUGAACGAAUAAUUAAUUUAUUAAAUAAAUAAUUAGAAAAGAAUGUGAAAUGGAGCAAUUGAAAAAAAAAAUUAAAAUGUUUAAGGAAAUAUAAAAGAAACAAAAAAAAAAUCAGCUAAUGAUAUGAGGCUUAGAUUUUGGUUUAACCAAACGGAAUCAUUUGGUUAGUUAGGUUUAACCCAAAUAACCGAAUAAUAGAACAGUUUAGGUGAACCGAACAAAAUUUAAAAUGUCGUUGAUCGGUUUAAUUAAGAGAACCGAUUCUGAACCAAAAAUAAUAAAAAAAUCUCAGUUUUGAGUUUUGAUUCAGUUUUGUUCACUCAGUAUGGUUAAAUGUCCCAGGCCUAAAUGAUAUAUAAUAUAUAUGAUUGAUUUAGUAAUUAAGAAACUCCUAAAACAGAGAAGAAGAGAAACAAAAGAUAUGUCAAAAUCUUCUUUAGACAACAAAAAGAAAAAAAACUCAAAGGUCUAAAUAAAAAUGAUUCCCAAUUAACUCCUCAAAGUCUUAUGUGAUCAAGAUGAAAUUCUAAGAAAAUUAAUUUAUUUGCAUUUAAUAAAAAAGGAAAAUGAAAAUGAAUGAAGAGUGAAGUCAACAAAGAAGAGCCCCUCGGGCGCAAUGCAUGCCGUCUUGUUUUGAUAAUUGCCGGCAAUUUCAAUCUCUACCAUUCCUUCUCUUAUUGUCUCCUCUCCUCCCAAUAAUUCAUGCAUCUGCCUAAAUUAUCUAAUCAAUUUUUUUCUUUUCUUUCUCAUUGGUAUUGUAAUAACAAAACUACAAUGGGAUGAUUCACAUUCAGAUAAAUUAAACCACUCUUUGUAUGUUUUAGUAUAAUCCUAUUUGUAUUAGAAAAAAAAAAAAUCAUUUCGAAGUUUAUGAUAUACUCUCUCGAUUUCAAAUUAGUUGUCAUUUUUUACCGAUUUUUUCAAAUUAGUUAUCGUUGUCGGUAAGUCCGAUAACAGAGCAAUUAGCAACUGUUAGUAUGUUAACAACAUGUUUUAUGAAUGGUUUGCAUUUUUAAUCUCUUUAUGAAGUAUGUACAGCUUUAUUUCAUGUUUUAAUCUGCAAGUCAAUGUGUAUGUAUGGUUUAAAUGGUUUUCGUGAAAGUUUAUGGUUUAAUUGACGUAAAUGAUUGUGUUCAUGAAUUUAAUGACAUUUUCCCUAUUAAAUUUUGAUGUUAACUUUCUAUUAAAUAUUUCCAUUUUUUUUUGUUAAAUUCUCAAGAAAUUUCUAGUAUGUUGCAUACUUUCCAUUUUAUCUACAUAUUUGUUAUAUCACGUUUCAACACCUGAAUAUUUGUCAAUAUUGGGGUUUUUUAAAUAAACUUACAAGAUGCAUUCAUUAUUUGUAUAUAUAUGUAGCGUGAACGCUCGAAACAAGGGAAGCUACGUAAUUGCUACGACACUAUAACUUUUUAUACUAGUUUUAAAUGAACUAGGAUGACAUAUGUUAUAAAUUUGCCAAUUUGAUUUGACGUUGAACCAACCAAUCUCAUAAGAAAAAAACAACUAUACAUUAAAUACAAAUAUAUAAUGUAUAGUCUUCUUAUUCACAUUACAAAACUAACUCAAAUAUGUAUAUAUUAUAAUUUAGAUUACCAAAAAACAAAAAAGUAGGAUUAAGAAGAAACAAAAGUUGUAAGUGUGAACAACAAUUAUAAUGGGUGUGUUUACAAUAUAAUCUGAACAACAAUUAUUAAAACUCGAUCAAACUAUGACUUUUUCCCUUUGACAAAUUUACAUAUUGACCUUUAGAUGAAAUAAAAACUUGAUUUUAUGAGAUUAAUAUAGAUUUCGGUUCGUGGUUAGAAGGAAAAAAGUUAUUUUAAGAGAUUAAUAUAGAUUUCGAUAUGAAAUAAAAAAUAUAUUUUAAGAGAUUAGUAUAGAUAUUCAUAUAUGACUUUUUUUGUAAAACCUAAAAAAAAAAACUUGAUUUUAGAAGAUUAGUAUAAAUUUUGGUGUGUAAUUUUGCCGGUUAGCUAGCUAGAGAACACAAAUCCAAACUAGAUUAUAAAAUGUAUGAAAAUUUUAUUUUUAUUUUUUAACAAAAUAAAAGUUACAUAUUGAAGGUAGUAGUAAUUAAAAGAGAGAAAUAAAUAAUUAAAAAAAUGCCUGGCCUUCCCAUGUACGCCGACGACGACAACGACUCAUCAAGACAACUCUUUAUUUUUCCCGGCGAAACAACGAAGUAACCUCUAAUGCAUCUCCUCGUAUAUAUGUACUAGUGGUCUCUUUGUGAUUGUGUAAGUACAUGUAAGUGAUCUUUCAUGUCUUUUGAUCUUCAUCUUCAUCAUCUUCUUGAAUCUUGAGAUCUUCUUGAAUCUUUGAGAUUUGUAUCUUUGUGAGUCUUCUUUGAGAGAAAGAGAGAGAGGAAGAGGAUGAUGAAGAACUUUGAAACUCAAACUCUUGUCUUCAUUUGGAGUUUUUGUUUUAUAGAGUACAAUAUUGUCACACGUAUGAUCUCACUAAAUAGAGGUUUAGUC